rnacentral:rRNA from 1 species
CGCUGGCGGCGUGCCUAAUACAUGCAAGUCGAACGAACUGUGGAAAGCUUGCUUUCAGAGUUAGUGGCGAACGGGUGAGUAACACGUAAGUAACCUAGCUAUUAGACGAGGAUAACUACUGGAAACGGUAGCUAAGACUGGAUAUGAUAGAAAUAUUUAAAGGAUGCUAAGGCAUCGCUAAUAGAGGGGCUUGCGGCGCAUUAGCUAGUUGGUAGGGUAGAAGCCAACCAAGGCGAUGAUGCGUAGCCGACCUGAGAGGGUGACCGGCCACACUGGGACUGAGACACGGCCCAGACUCCUACGGGAGGCAGCAGUAGGGAAUCUUCGGCAAUGGACGGAAGUCUGACCGAGCAACGCCGCGUGAAGUGAAGAAAGUUUUCGGAUUGUAAAGCUCUGUUAUUAGGGAAGAGAGGCUCUAGGAGGAAAUGCUUAGGGAUUGACGGUACCUAAUGAGGAAGCCACGGCUAACUACGUGCCAGCAGCCGC